rnacentral:rRNA from 1 species
AUUGAACGCUGGCGGCAGGCCUAACACAUGCAAGUCGAACGAGUGGCGGACGGGUGAGUAAUGUCUGGGAAACUGCCCGAUGGAGGGGGAUAACUACUGGAAACGGUAGCUAAUACCGCAUACCAUCGGAUGUGCCCAGAUGGGAUUAGCUAGUAGGUGGGGUAACGGCUCACCUAGGCGACGAUCCCUAGCUGGUGUGAGAGGAUGACCAGCCACACUGGAACGGGGACACGGUCCAGACUCCUACGGUAGGCAGCAGUGGGUAAUAUUGCACAAUGGGCGCAAGCCUGAUGCAGCCAUGCCGCGUGUAUGAAGAAGGCCUUCGGUUUGUAAAGUACUUUCAGCGAGGAGGCGUUACUCGCAGAAGAAGCACCGGCUAACUCCGUGCCAGCCGCCGCGGUAAUUC